UGCAAUUGUUUUUUAUGUAGCUUGUUUUGGACUAUAAAUUGGCUUUGAUAAUGCUCAAUUUUUUUAAGAAGUUUGUGUGGAUUAGGUCAAUAUUUAGUUCAGUGCCUCAUUGCCGUAUGGCGCAAGCACAAUAAUAUAUUUCCAGAAGCACAGCAAUAUAUUUUCAGGAUAUAUACCUUUCUCCUCCAUCUAGUGGGAAUCACAACUUCUAGUGGUUAAUAAUUACAGCUUACAGUUCAUUUUUGUAUGUCAGCUAGAUUCCUCAACCAUUUAGCAAUUUACUAUUACUAGAAUUUAUUCAGGAGAUUUGGUCCCAUCUUGUCAGUGAAGAUGUGUACAUAAAUCAAAUAUUUAGUUUGAGGUUCACACCAUAUGAAUAAUGCACUAAUUAUAUAUACAGAAAAAAUAGCUUGUAUUUAACAGUUAUGGCCCUGUUUGGCAAGCCUGCUACUUAGGGUUUGAUUGUAUGUGUAUGAACUCUGUCACACACUUCCUACAAGCACAAACAACCACACCCGAGAACACAAGCGGAAAUACAAAUACAUAUGCAGUAUGAAUAAGCACGAGGCAAACCAAUCAGGAGACGCAAGGAUUUGUUUGACUAGAGAACGGGCCACCACAACUCCACAAGGCGCCCUACGUCUCCAUUGUGGAAGUCAGUGAGGGACCCAUCAAGUGGGAAGACUAGCCUUUCUUACAAGACCAACGCAAACAGCCUACACACCCUCGGGUCCUGCUGGUGACAUUUUCCCACCUAAGAACAAAGUUCCAAGAGAAAGAUAGCAACGAACCAAAGAUCUUCGACUUGCUCAAGUUCUCGAGGAUGGGAUAACUCUCAAAGCUUCCCAAGCUCUGUAUUGCCACAAAGGCAAGCUCACGAAGUUUGGGACACCCCCUAAUCAAGGUUUAAGCUUUCUCUAUUCAAACACUCACAAAGAGAGGGAGAGGAAUGCCCAAGGACUAUUCUGGUCGUUGAUAAGAGUGGGGAGGAUCAACAACAUGAAAUGGUGAGUGGAAGAGGUAUUUAUAGCCAUCACGCCAAAACUAGUUGUUUGAGUUUGAGUUGACAAAUCCGACCUAGCCGGGUAUUCAAACCGACUAGCCGUUGGCCCAGAAGUUGGUCUGGUCGGGUUUGUGGUUGGGGCUAAAAUUUUGAGUGGAGUUUUACUUACUCUCUCUUACUCUUGGGUUUAUCUGAAGCACCAUUUUGCAUGCCUCGAUCUUGGUGAAACAUCCCUCUUGAUAGUGUGGCAAUACUCAACUCACAAAAAAUAAAAGGAUCUGAACCACCAUUUGAGUUUUUCUUCAAUUCAAUCUUGGUUGCCAUUUUUACUAUUGUUAUUUUGAGGGUCUUCAUUACUUCAACUUCUUGAGCUUGUCCAUCUUGAGCAUGUGAGUUGUGUCGAAGGUUUCAAGUCACUUUGAAUAUUCGAUUGAUCUUCUACAUUGACAACCAUCACUUGAUUAGUGCCUCAACUCAAUGCAAGUAAAUUUUUUAUUCACUUUUAGCUAGGUCCAUCGGCUGUCAGGCCAUCGCUUGCCCUUCACCUUUCACAGAAGUCAGGAGCUUGCUUUUGUUUCGCUCCGAUGAUGCCAAAUGGGCAAUUUUACCUAUACUGUGCUUCUUAGAAAAGAUUGCUUGUAGAGAAAACCAGCUUCUGUGAAAAGCACCUACAAGUUAAGCUCUUCCAAACAUGGCCUAUAUAUUUUUCCUCCAUCUGGUGGAAAAUUUAUAGUGAGUAAUUACAGUUCAUUUUCAUAUGUGAUCUAGACUCAACCAUUUACUAAUUUACUGUUACUAGAAUUUAUUCAGGAGCUCUGACCCUAUCUUGUCAGUGAAGAUGUGAACACAUAUAGGGAAGGGAUACAUUAAAGGAAAAAUCUUGAGAAUGUUAUCAUUUACUCCCUUUGUUUCACUAUGUUUGUCCAUGGCCUUGGGAUAAUACGUCCUGCAAUGUUUGUCAAUUGAGGAUAUCAAGAGUUUAAGUUGGUGCAACAUUUUCAAUCUAUUAUCACUAAUUAAAUGCUUUCAAAGAAGAGAAAUAAUUGUGUCAUGUUUUGUGUUACUAGAUUUUUUUUUCCUUGUAAUUACUACUGUCUUAGGUAGUGUGCAUGAUGUCCUAUGGACAAGCAUAGUGAAAUUGAAGGAAUAUGAACGCUAAGCCAUCAAUAGUUGCAAGAUUCACACUCUUAUAUAUUCAAUUGGCAGGAGGCAAGGAUAAAAG